GCAAACUUGGUCAUUUAGAGGAAGUAAAAGUCGUAACAAGGUCUCCGUUGGUGAACCAGCGGAGGGAUCAUUAAAAGAGUUUUACACUCCAAACCCACUGCGUACAUACAUGUUGUUGCUUCGGCAGGCGGUCUUUAGGGCCUUCAGCUCCCCGCGGGCGCCUGCCGGAGACCCAAAACUCUGGUUUUACAGCGUGCCCCUCUGAGUUUGUUGCAAAAAUACAAGUAAAAACUUUCAACAACGGAUCUCUUGGUUCUGGCAUCGAUGAAGAACGCAGC
rnacentral:misc_RNA from 1 species